rnacentral:rRNA from 1 species
UACGGGGGGGGCAAGCGUUGUUCGGAAUUACUGGGCGUAAAGAGUGCGUAGGUGGUGCCCUAAGUCUGUUGUGAAAUCUCCCGGCUUAACUGGGAGGGUGCGGUGGAAACUGGGGUGCUUGAGUGUGGGAGAGGUAAGCGGAAUUCCUGGUGUAGCGGUGAAAUGCGUAGAUAUCAGGAGGAACACCGGUGGUGUAGGCGGCUUACUGGACCACGACUGACACUGAGGCACGAAAGCGUGGGUAGCAAACAGG